rnacentral:rRNA from 1 species
UACAGAGGUCUCAAGCGUUGUUCGGAUUCAUUGGGCGUAAAGGGUGCGUAGGUGGCGCUGUAAGUCGGGUGUGAAAUUUCGGAGCUUAACUCCGAAACUGCAUUCGAUACUGCCUCGCUUGAGUACUGGAGAGGAGACUGGAAUUUACGGUGUAGCAGUGAAAUGCGUAGAUAUCGUAAGGAAGACCAGUGGCGAAGGCGGCUGCCCUGGGCCU